rnacentral:rRNA from 1 species
CUCUUCUUGUAUUAUUUAUGAAGUAUGGCCUGCCCAAUGAGUUUUGAAUGGCCGCGGUAUCUUGACCGUGCAAAGGUAGCAUAAUCAUUAGUCUUUUUAUUGGGGACUGGAAUGAAUGGUUUGACGAGAUAAGAUCUGUCUUUAUAUUAUUUAGUAGAAUUUAAUUUCUGAGUAAAAAAGCUUAGAUAUAAUUAUGGGACGAGAAGACCCUAUAGAGUUUAUAUAAUAAUAAUUUUGUUUAUAAAUAGUAUGUUUAUUAAUAUUAAUUAUAAUUAUUUAGUUGGGGUGAUUGGAAGAUAAUAGUAACUCUUCUUGAUUAAUAAAUAUUAAUUAGUAGUAUUUUGAUCCAUUAUUAAUGAUUAAAAGACUAAAUUACCUUAGGGAUAACAGCGUAAUCUUUUUUGAGAGUUCUAAUUGACAAUAAGGGUUGCGACCUCGAUGUUGGAUUAAGAUAAGUUCUGUGUGUAGAAGCUUGGAGAUAUAGGUCUGUUCGACCUUUAAACUCUU